rnacentral:rRNA from 1 species
GACGAACGCUGGCGGCGUGCUUAACACAUGCAAGUCGAACGAUGAAACCUAGCUUGCUAGGUCGAUUAGUGGCGAACGGGUGAGCAACACGUGACUAACCUGCCCCUUUCUCUGGGAUAACGCUCCGAAAGGAGUGCUAAUACCGGAUACUCACACCGAGGCACAUGCCUUGGUGUGGAAAGUUUUUCGGAAAGGGAUGGAGUCGCGGCCUAUCAGCUUGUUGGUGAGGUAACGGCUCACCAAGGCGACGACGGGUAGCCGGCCUGGGAGGGGGACGGGCCACACUGGGACUGAGACACGGCCCAGACUCCUACGGGAGGCAGCAGUGGGGAAUAUUGCACAAUGGGCGCAAGCCUGAUGCAGCGACGCCGCGUGAGGAAUGAAGGUCUUCGGAUUGUAAACCUCUUUCAGUAGGGACGAAGCGAAAGUGACGGUACCUAAAGAAGAAGCACCGGCUAACUACGUGCCAGCAGCCGCCGUAA